GACGAACGCUGGCGGCGUGCUUAACACAUGCAAGUCGAACGGAAAGGCCCUGCUUUUGUGGGGUGCUCGAGUGGCGAACGGGUGAGUAACCCGUGAGUAACCUUCCCUUGACUUUGGGAUAACUUCAGGAAACUGGGGCUAAUACCGGAUAGGAGCGCCUGCUGCAUGGUGGGGGUUGGACAGUUUCGGCGGUGAGGGAUGGACUCGCGGCUUAUCAGCUUGUUGGUGGGGUAGUGGCUUACCAAGGCUUUGACGGGUAGCCGGCCUGAGAGGGUGACCGGCCACAUUGGGACUGAGAUACGGACCAGACUCCUACGGGAGGCAGCAGUGGGGAAUAUUGCACAAUGGGCGGAAGCCUGAGGCAGCAACGCCGCGUGCGGGAUGACGGCCUUCGUGUUGUAAACCGCUUUCGCCUGUGACGAAGCGUGAGUGACGGUAAUGGGUAAAGAAGCACCGGCUAACUACGUG
rnacentral:rRNA from 1 species